UACAGAGGGUGCAAGCGUUGUUCGGAAUUAUUGGGCGUAAAGCGCGUGUAGGCGGCUUGGCCAGUCGGGUGUGAAAGCCCUCAGCUCAACUGAGGAAGUGCGCCCGAAACUGCUGAGCUCGAGUGCCGGAGAGGGUGGCGGAAUUCCCCAAGUAGAGGUGAAAUUCGUAGAGAUGGGGAGGAACACCGGUGGCGAAGGCGGCCACCUGGACGGUUACUGACGCUGAGACGCGAAAGCGUGGGGAGCAAACAGG
rnacentral:rRNA from 1 species